UGGGGCAUGGCCAAGUGGUAAGGCAACGGGUUUUGGUCCCGCUAUUGGGAGGUUUGAAUCCUUCCGUCCGAGAGCAUA
rnacentral:tRNA from 1 species